CCCGGCGACCGGCGCACGGGUGAGUAACACGUAUGCAACCUGGCCGCCACAGGGGGAUAACCCGCGGAAACGCGGCCUAAUACCCCGUGACGCCACCGGAGGGCAUCCUCCGGUGGCCAAAGGAGCGAUCCGGUGGCGGAUGGGCAUGCGGCGCAUUAGCUAGACGGCGGGGUGACGGCCCACCGUGGCGACGAUGCGUAGGGGUUCUGAGAGGAAGGCCUCCCACACUGGGACUGAGACACGGCCCAGACUCCUACGGGAGGCAGCAG
rnacentral:rRNA from 1 species